rnacentral:misc_RNA from 1 species
GAUGAAGAACGUAGCGAAAUGCGAUAAGUAAUGUGAUUUGCAGAAUUCAGUGAAUCAUCGAAUCUUUGAACGCACAUUGCGCCCCCUGGUAUUCCGGGGGGCAUGCCUGUUCGAGCGUCAUUUCAACCCUCAAGCUCUGCUUGGUAUUGGGCGUCGCCGGGGAGUCUCCCCGGCGUGCCUCAAAGCCAUCGGCGGUGGUGCCUUUCUCUAAGCGUGGUAGAAUUUUUAUUCGCUUCUGAGUUGGGCUUCGCCUGCCGGACAAACCGGGCCCUCGCGGCCCACCUUCUCAGGUUGACCUCGGAUCAGGUAGGGAUACCCGCUGAACUUAAGCAUAUCAAUAAGCGGAGGA